UACGAAGGGGGCUAGCGUUGUUCGGAUUUACUGGGCGUAAAGCGCACGUAGGCGGAUCUUUAAGUCAGAGGUGAAAUCCCAAGGCUCAACCUUGGAACUGCCUUUGAUACUGGGGAUCUUGAGUCCGGGAGAGGUGAGUGGAACUGCGAGUGUAGAGGUGAAAUUCGUAGAUAUUCGCAAGAACACCAGUGGCGAAGGCGGCUCACUGGCCCGGUACUGACGUUGAGGUGCGAAAGCGUGGGGAGCAAACAGG
rnacentral:rRNA from 1 species